AGCCAAAUGCCUCGUCAUCCAAUUAGUGACGCGCAUGAAUGGAUUAACGAGAUUCCCACUGUCCCUAUCUACUGUCUAGCGAAACCACAGCCAAGGGAACGGGCUUGGAAAAAUCAGCGGGGAAAGAAGACCCUGUUGAGCUUGACUCUAGUUUGACUUUGUGAAGAGACAUGGGAGGUGUAGCAUAAGUGGGAGAUCCUCUGGAUCAACAGUGAAAUACCACUACUCCCAUCGUUUCUUUACUUACUCGAUGAGGCAGAGAGCGACUCUUAUCGGAGUCACCCUACUCGGCCAAAGUAAUGGAGUGUCUUACCAGGCAUUCUUUACGAUCUGAUUCGAGGACAUUGUCAGGCGGGGAGUUUGACUGGGGCGGUACAUCUGUCAAAUACUAACGCAGGUGUCCUAAGGUUGGCUCCGUCAGGACAGAAACCUGGCUUAGAGCAAAAGGGCAAAAGCCAGCUUGAUCUAUGACGUUCAGUAAACGUAUAG
rnacentral:rRNA from 1 species